rnacentral:rRNA from 1 species
GUGGGGAAUAUUGGUCAAUGGGGGAAACCCUGAACCAGCAACGCCGCGUGAAGGAAGAAGGCUUUCGGGUUGUAAACUUCUUUUAUGUGGGACGAAAAAAAUGACGGUACCACAUGAAUAAGCCACGGCUAACUACGUGCCAGCAGCCGCGGUAAUACGUAGGUGGCAAGCGUUGUCCGGAUUUACUGGGUGUAAAGGGCGCGUAGGCGGAUGUGCAAGUCAGAUGUGAAAUACCAGGGCUCAACCCUGGGGCUGCAUUUGAAACUGUGCAUCUUGAGUGAUGGAGAGGCAAGCGGAAUUCCUAGUGUAGCGGUGAAAUGCGUAGAUAUUAGGAGGAACACCAGUGGCGAAGGCGGCUUGCUGGACAUUAACUGACGCUGAGGCGCGAAAGCGUGGGGAGCAAACAGGAUUAGAAACCCUGGUAGUCC